rnacentral:rRNA from 1 species
CCCCACUGCUAUCGGGAUGGGACUAAGACAUGCUAGUCGAGCGUCUCCAAGCUAUGGAAGAGACGCGGCACACAGCUCAGUAACACGUGGCUAACCUGCCCUUGGGACAAGGACAACUCCGGGAAACUGGGGCUAAUCCCUGAUAAGUGAGAACUCCUGGAAUGGAUUCUCGCUCAAAGGACGUUUAGACCAUGCUUCUAGGCGUCGCCCAAGGAGGGGGCCGCGACCGAUCAGGUUGUUGGUGAGGUAACGGCUCACCAAGCCUUUAACCGGUACGGGCCGUGAGAGCGGAAGCCCGGAGAUGGGCACUGAGACAAGGGCCCAGGCCCUACGGGGCGCAGCAGUCGCGAAAACUCCGCAAUACACGAAAGUGUGACGGGGCCAUCCCGAGUGCCAUCCGCUGAGGAUGGCUUUUCCCCAGUGUAUAAAGCUGGGGGAAUAAGGAGAGGGCAAGCCUGGUGUCAGCCGCCGCGGUAAUACCAGCUCUCCGAGUGGUGGGGAUGUUUAUUGGGCCUAAAGCAUUCGUAGCCUGCUUGGCAAGUCCUCCGUUAAAUCCAACGAUUCAAUCGUUGGGCUGCGGGGGAUACUGUCCGGCUAGGGGGCGGGAGAGGCCGACGGUAUCCCCGGGGUAGGGGUGAAAUCCUAUAAUCCCGGGAGGACCACCAGUGGCGAAGGCUGUCGGCUAGAACGCGCUCGACGGUGAGGGAUGAAAGCUGGGGGAGCGAACCGGAUUAGAUACCCGGGUAGUCCCAGCUGUAAACGAUGCAGGCUAGGUGUUGGCGCGGCUACGUGCCGCUCCAGUGCCGCAGGGAAGCCGUUAAGCCUGCCGCCUGGGAAGUACGGCCGCAAGGCUGAAACUUAAAGGAAUUGGCGGGGGAGCACCACAAGGUGUGAAGCUUGCGGUUU